CCCUAAUGUGUAUGAAGGAAUUGAACUCUACAGUUCAUGUUCUGAGUGAACGACUACUUGGAUCACUGGGAGUGAUGAAGAAAAAUGAGAUGCCAAAAAUUGAGAUGACCACUACUGUAGUCAACAUGGGAUGGAAUGAAAGUAUGAUACUGUUUUUAGUCAUGGCUUUAAAUUCCAAGUAUUUGAAGCACGUUCUUCGCAAGUAAGACAAAUGUUUUGGUAAGCUACAUGAUUUCCCAUGCUAAUAACACUUAUUCAUGAUGGUAGAAGUACAGUG
rnacentral:lncRNA from 1 species